GACAGAGGAUGCAAGCGUUAUCCGGAAUGAUUGGGCGUAAAGCGUCUGUAGGUGGCUUUUAAGUCCGCCGUCAAAUCCCAGGGCUCAACCCUGGACAGGCGGUGGAAACUACCAAGCUGGAGUACGGUAGGGGCAGAGGGAAUUCCGGUGGAGCGGUGAAAUGCGCAGAUAUCAGGAAGAACACCCGUGGCUAAGGCGGCUCUCUAGUACGGUACUGACGCUGAGACGCGAAAGCGUGGGGAGCGAACAGG
rnacentral:rRNA from 1 species